GAUGAAGUACGUAGCGAAAUGCGAUACGUAAUGUGAAUUGCAGAAUUCAGUGAAUCAUCGAAUCUUUGAACGCAUAUUGCGCUCUCUGGUAUUCCGGAGAGCAUGCUUGUUUGAGUAUCAGUAAACACCUCAACUUCCAUAUCUUUUUUGAAAUGGGAGUUGGACUUGAGUGAUCCCAACGCUUUUCCUCACCGAAAAGUGGCGGGUUACUUGAAAUGCAGGUGCAGCUGGACUUUUCUCUGAGCUAUAAGCAUAUCUAUUUAGUCUGCCUAAAAAACAGAUUAUUACCUUUGCUGCAGCUAACAUAAAGGAGAUUAGUUCUUGUGCUGACUGAUGCAGGAUUCACAAAGACAGGCUUCGGCCGACUUUGUAAACUCGAUCUCAAAUCAAGUAAGACUACCCGCUGAACUUAAGCAUAUCAAUAAGCGGAGGA
rnacentral:misc_RNA from 1 species